AGGACGCUUCCUUCGGGAAGCGAGCGUACACAGGUGCUGCAUGGCUGUCGUCGGCUCGUGUCGUGAGAUGUUGGGUUAAGUCCCGCAACGAGCGCAACCCCUGCAUUCAGUUGCCAUCGGGUAAUGCCGGGCACUCUGGAAGGACUGCCAUCGACAAGAUGGAGGAAGGUGGGGAGUGACGUCAAGUCAUCAUGGCCCUUAUGUCCAGGGCCGACACACGUGCUACAAUGGCCGGCACAACGGGAAGCGAGUUCGCGAGGACGAGCGGAUCCCUCAAAAGCCGGUCGCAGUUCGGAUUGAAGUCUGCAACUCGACUUCAUGAAGCUGGAAUCGCUAGUAAUCGUGGAUCAGCCAAGCCGCGGUGAAUACGUUCCCGGGCCUU
rnacentral:rRNA from 1 species